AUGAGUAAAAGCAUAGGAGAUGAAAAGCACAGAGGCCUUUGCUCAACCUGUGUGUGUGAGAGCUCGGAUCGCUACACAUGUGAAGCUUGUCUGGUCCAGCAACCGAAUUAUGCACAAAUGAGUUCGCCCUGUUUGGAUUUCGGGAGGCUGGAGGAGACAGUCUCAAGUUUUCGGCAGAGAAUGACCCCCAACCGAGAGGUGAACAGAACAUAGGGGUUUUUCACAGAAUUCCACCUUAGACACACACAAAGCGCUGUAAGUAUGUGAAUGAAGUGUCCUUCAGACUUACAAACUGUUUCUAGAAUUUCUUGAGUGUUGACUCAAGAAUGAAAAAUUGGGGGCUAAUGAAGGUCAUUUUGAUAACAAAAACGAUGCGUUAUUAAAGUCUUACAUGUCAUCUUUUAACUUAUGAGCCUGUCAGCGGGAACACUUCUUAUCUAAGCGCAUACUUUCCAGACUAGCAUCACUAACUCCCCUAGUGCUGAAGACAUUCAUGGUUACUUAAUAGUUUAACAGGACUACAUCUCCUAUGAGUUAUGCUGUGUUCAUUCAGAAAAAUUAUAGAUGGGCAGAUCCCUUUCUAUUUAUAUUCCCUUUUUUUGCUCUAAUGUCUCCUAUCUGGCACGUCUCCCGGUCCACAUGGAUCAGGACAGGAGACAGUUAAAAGAUGAUCUCAACGCUAAGUGUAGCACAAGCUUUAUCUCUAACAAGUAUACUACCACCUAUUGGACAGUUUAAGCACAACAGUAACAGGUAAACAGACCUGAUGUUUCCACAGCAGAUUAGCAGUUAAGUAAUUCAGGCUAUAAACCUGAAAAAUGUGGACACUUAAGCCACAGUGUAAUUCUGAGAAAAUAUCUGCCAUUAUUUGUUUGCAGAUGUCACUUGGUGCAAUAUUUUGUUAUCUAGUGCUGCUUGAAUGUCUAAGUACUCAGCACAACUGUACAUGUAUAUUUCUGGCAGCUUCCCAGCCGCAGUGGGUAGAUCAUAAUGAUCAAAUGGACAUGUAAAUAAUUCAACAGGAUAACAAGACUGAUAGUGAUAGUGAGUGGAGGACAGUGAUGUCAUCUUCAUGGCAGGUGAUCAUUUCCUCUGAAAGGCACAUUUGUCAUGGGAGGCAUCACGUGGAUUGCAGCUCAAACAAGCACCUAGUGUAUUUAUAUUUCAAAGCCUGAGUUUGAGUAGAUUCGUGCAAAAGGGAGAGUAAACGAAACGUGACAAUAUGCAACACCUCCCUUUUCAGUGUCAGGUUUUAAUAAAGAAAUAUGAUCUACUGUAACUUAUUUUAGAGAGAACUGGCAUUGUGUGCUACAGAUCCAGCAUGGUUAUGUAGGUCAAACUUAGUUACAAACAAAUAGUUUACAAAUGGGUGUGCUGAUUUGUUUAUGAGAGCUUCUAAAGGUCCCAUGGUAACCACCUGAGAGGAAGUGAGAAUAGUGAGAAAAGGUAAAACUACAAUGGGAAAAACAAAGGUGGACACAAGUCACAAAAUCAUGUACAUUUAUAAAAGUUAUGCAGUGACAAUCUCAUUUCUGAUUUAUUGACGGACCACCCAGAGGUCACGUACCAUCUGGUGCAUAUUGCACACAAAAUCGCUAAGCUCUUUCUUUAACUAUCAAGCUCUGUCUGGUCUGACUGGCUGUCUGCUACACAAUAUCAGGGAGUUUGCGUGCAAAUGCUUUAACUGGUCUGCUGGGAAAACAAAAAGUUCUGUUUACAAGGUAACAAGCCACUACAAAGCGCACUUCUGUGGGAGAACUACCUGUAGAUACAGGAUUUGGCAGUUUGACAUGAGAUAUCUGGAAUAUAUUUAGCAUUGUUUGAGCUCAGUCUUAGUCCCAAGUAAAUGGGAUACUCCUAAGAGACAGAAAUUCGGAUUACUGUCUGCACACAUUUAACACUCAUUUCUUGUGUUGAUAUUUUCUUGGAAAGUGCUGCAUCAUUAUUUGAAAAAGCAACCACUUUAUUGUUCAGUGCCCUAUUUAUGAGAUAUCAAUGUCAGAUUUACCCAC
rnacentral:lncRNA from 1 species